AAUUUGACCUCGGAUCAGGUAGGAAUACCCGCUGAACUUAAGCAUAUA
rnacentral:rRNA from 1 species